rnacentral:rRNA from 1 species
GACGAACGCUGGCGGCGUGCUUAACACAUGCAAGUCGAACGGAAAGGCCCUGCUUUUGUGGGGUGCUCGAGUGGCGAACGGGUGAGUAACACGUGAGUAACCUGCCCUUGACUUUGGGAUAACUUCAGGAAACUGGGGCUAAUACCGGAUAGGAGCUCCUGCUGCAUGGUGGGGGUUGGAAAGUUUCGGCGGUUGGGGCUGGACUCGCGGCUUAUCAGCUUGUUUGUGGGGUAGUGGCUUACCAAGGCUUUGACGGGUAGCCGGCCUGAGAGGGUGACCGGCCACAUUGGGACUGCGAGACGGCCCAGACUCCUACGUGAGGCAGCAGUGGGGAAUAUUGCACAAUGGGCGGAAGCCUGAUGCAGCAACGCCGCGUGCGGGAUGCCGGCCUUCGGGUUGUAAACCGCUUUCGCCUGUGACGAAGCGUUAGUGACGGUAAUGGGUAAAGAAGCACCGGCUAACUACGUG